AAAGCCCAUGCCAAAGCCUGGGCUUUUACAAUUUCUAAAAUUAAAAUAAAAAUUUGAAAAUAAAGGAAAAAAGCCAAAAAUUAGUGUUUCAUAAAUCAAAAGUCACGAUUUUAUUCAACUGCCAAUCCUUAAGAUAAACACAAGCAAGAAUCAAAAGCCAAUAGCCGUCAACCGACACCCACCAAACUUGAAUCUUAGCCAUCACCGAUAAAUCCAACCAUUGCUGCAUGCCAAUUGAACCCAGCAGCUAUCACCACCAGCGAGCGACGUAGCAACCACGAGAUCGCAGCACACCACGCUGCAACAGCAGCAAACCCAGCACGUGAGCAUGAGCAGCAACAGCGGCUAGAGAGCUUCUUCGAACCGAGCACGCGAGUGUGAGCAGCAACAGUGCCCAGCUAGCCUCUUCGAACCCAUGUGAUCUUGGAGGUGCAAAAAAGUGCUAGAUCAGAGGCCAAAAAGAAAGAGAUUCGCAAACAAGAGCUGGAGACGUGUGUGUAUGAGAUUCUCCGUUGAGCUCUUUUUAUUUUGUGUGAAAAAAAAAUUUCAAAUAUGUAAAUAAUGACAAAAUUUGUGUUACCAUCUGCCUUUAGUUAAGAACUUAAAUUAUUAUGGAAUUGUUAUGAAAUUAUUCUACACUAUCAGCAAGCGAUGGAUGAAUGCGUAAAUCUAAAAAUUGUUUAUGUGUUAUAGAAUACUAGAUUUUCAUUCAACUAAAUUGUUAUGAAAUUAUAAGUUAUUGAAAGCCUAAACCCGGC
rnacentral:lncRNA from 1 species